rnacentral:lncRNA from 1 species
AGAGUGAGGAGCCGCGUGGGGCUGCGCGCACAGCGGGCGCGGCCGGAGGCGGCGGGAGCGCGGCGGAGGACGGGGCUGGGCAGAGACUGCCCUCUCGGCUGGGAAAAUCCUUUCCGGAUCCUUUUCAUCAGAUGAAACAGUAAGAUGUCCAAAAGGUACUCCUUCCCACAGCCUCCCAGGACUGCUACCAGAUACAUGUGACGACUGACAAGAGAUAAGUUAAAAUAAAUAACUGGAAGUAAAUGAAAACAUGGAAACAGUCAAGGAGUCAUAGGACCAAAGAGCAUGAUACUCCAGGCUAGUAAUUUCACUAUUCAAUGCCCUGAGUUUUGUUGCCGUUUCCUAUAUAGGCAGCCUCAGCAAGCCUAGAGGAUGCAGAGUCGACCUGAGUUAAGAUAUGUGCUGUGAGUGAAAAAGCUUGAUUCAGUUUUUCUCCUGAGGAGAAGGUGGCUGCUUCAGUUCUGCUGCACCUCAGGAUGUGUUGUACCUAGGCAAGUCUCACAUCAUUUCAUGUCCUGCUAUCAAAAGUUUCAUUGCCUUUAUGCUACUUAAAAAAGCUAUGUUAAAAUGCACACACAUAUGUAGGCUGAUUAAAUAACCUUUUGUUCCCUAACUCUAAAACAUAUUUUUUUUUCCCUUUGCUACUACGUGGAUCAAGCAGCUCUAGAGUCUAUGAAGUGAGCCUAAUUUAUUCCUGACUUGUGCUGGAAUAAUUUAUGUUCUUGAGCCUUUGCAGAUGUAUAGUCACUAGAGAGCUGCCUGCUUACGGGAGUUUUUACACAUAUUUUGUCUAAAUCAGAGCUCCAAAUGCAAUGUCGGAGAUGCAGGGAGUUUGUGUGGAUUUGUAGCACUCCCUGGAGGACUCUGUGUCUAUAAACCAAUAAACAUUUCACAAUUCUCAGCAAGUGAAGAUUUUCAUAAUUUCUGAUGUAUGCAGUAUUGACCAUGCUUCUCAUUUUAAUUUCAGUAAUAUUCCAUAGGUAAUAAGUAAUUGGAAAAUAAAUUCUUGCAGGUGAACGCUAAAAGCAAAAAUUAGUCUUUCUAUACUUAGCUGCUGCCAUUUUCUUAUUAUAAACUAAAGAGGCGAAACAAAAUAAUCAUUUAUAAACAAAACACAUCUCACACUGGUUGAAAACUACAGUGAGAUGCAGAUAUUUUGUGGCCAAAACAUUCAAAAAGAAGGCAGGAAGAAACAGCCAUCUCAUUUCUAUAUAGAUUGAUUAUUUUUUCUUUGCAUAUGUAGUUUGACCAUCACAGGUUCAGCUGAAAAUAGUUAAUUCUUCAGAAAACUGACUGUGCCAACCUGUAGGCAGAUGUGAAGGUUAAAAUUCCUAAUUGUUGCUCUGAAAUCAGUUGAUACAAAGGAUGAUUAAAUACAGGGUCAAGACUUCAAAUUUAUUCCUUAGUCAGUAAGAUGUUAAUUUGGUAAGAAAGUGACUACAAAAUGUUUUCUGAAAGAGUCAGAACCCAUUGCUGCAUGUGGAGAACUGCAAACAUACCGACAGCAUGUACGGCUGGUGUUUACAGAGGUCUAUGAAUAAUAAAUAAUCUAGUUAAAUAACCAUUGUUAGAGCUAUGCAAACAAGAGAGCAAAUAAAUCAAGACCUCCUGCUCAUGCAUAGAUACCAACCACAGUACUUUUUCAUUUUUUUUUCUUUGUUUUCUUUGUUUGCUUAAAUAGGAGAGACAAAUAGCGGAUGCAGGUGUAAUCAGCUAAAAAUUGUGAAGCUAGUAAGAAGUGUUUUGGAAAAGAUCACCAAGUGGAUCAAUCCCCCUAUCAGAAACAGUCAGCAGGGGAAAGCAGUUUGCACCAGUAUAUGUACCCUGCCAUUCAGACUGUAUCAAUUUGUUUCUGCAACUGGCAUAAUGUGGCACAGUUCAGAGAGAAUCUCACAUAUGACUGCUGACAUACAGACAUACAGUGCUGGAAGUAAAGGAGAUUCAUGAGCAAAAGUGAAAAGGCUGCUUUUUUUUUUUUUUCACUUUUUUUUUUUUUUCUCCUUCAUAUGGGAAUUCAACUGUUUUAUUUUGUAUAGUGUUAUAUGUAAAAUCCAUUCUUUUAAACUGAUAUUACUACAUUCAGUGCUUAUAGUAUUCUGUUUAUUGUUUCUCUGUGUGAUUGUCUAUCUGUGCAGAAUUUCAUAUGAAAAAAUGAAAUACAUGGAUUACAUAUCAAGUACCUGCUUCCUUGCGUUAUCCUAUCCAGAAAUAAUAAUGUUUUUUAUGUUGAAAGAUGGUUGGGAAAAGGUUAAUUCUGUAUCUGGAUAAGUAAGAUACAUUUAUUUCCUAAUUCUGUAUUUCAUUUCUGGGAAUUUCUAUGAUAUAACCCCCUCUACUUGCCUAUCCAGUUGCUGUUUAAAUAUAAUAAAAUGCAACACUUAUUCAUCU